CCGUUGGAAACAGUGGCUAAGACUGGAUAGGAAGAUAAAAGGCAUCUUUUAUCUUUUAAAAGACCUAGUAAUAGGUAUGCUUUAGGAGGGGCUUGCGCCAUAUUAGUUAGUUGGUAGGGUAAUGGCCUACCAAGACGAUGAUGUGUAGCUGGACUGAGAGGUUGAACAGCCACAUUGGGACUGAGACACGGCCCAAACUCCUACGGGAGGCAGCAGUAGGGAAUUUUCGGCAAUGGAGGAAACUCUGACCGAGCAACGCCGCGUGAAUGACGAAGUACUUCGGUAUGUAAAGUUCUUUUAUCAAGGAAGAAAAGCAAAUGGCGAACCAUUUGUUUGCCGGUACUUGAUGAAUAAGCCCCGGCUAAUUAUGUGCCAGCAGCCGCGGUAAGACAUAAGGGGCAAGUGUUAUCCGGAAUUAUUGGGCGUAAAGGGUGCGUAGGCGGUCUAGUAAGUCAGUGGUGUAAUGGCAACGCUUAACGUUGUCCGGCUAUUGAAACUGCUAAACUUGAGUUAGAUAGAGGCGAGUGGAAUUCCAUGUGUAGCGGUAAAAUGCGUAAAUAUAUGGAGGAACACCAGAGGCGUAGGCGGCUCGCUGGGUCUUAACUGACGCUGAGGCACGAAAGCGUGGGGAGCAAACAGGAUUAGAUACCCUGGUAGUCCACGCCGUAAACGAUGAGUACUAAGUGUCGGGUUAAACCGGUACUGAAGUUAACACAUUAAGUACUCCGCCUGAGUAGUACGUACGCAAGUAUGAAACUUAAAGGAAUUGACGGGACUCCGCACAAGCGGUGGAUCAUGUUGUUUAAUUCGAAGAUACCCGAAAAACCUUACCAGGUCUUGACAUGUUUUUGCAAAAUGAUAGUAAUAUCGUGGAGGUUACCAGAAACACAGGUGGUGCAUGGUUGUCGUCAGCUCGUGUCGUGAGAUGUUAGGUUAAGUCCUAAAACGAGCGAAACCCUUAUCGUUAGUUGCCAGCACGUUAUGGUGGGGACUUUAACGAGACUGCCAAUGAUAAAUUGGAGGAAGGUGAGGAUCACGUCAAAUCAGCAUGCCCCUUAUGACCUGGGCUACAAACGUGAUACAAUGGCUGUUACAAAGGGUAGCUGAAACGCAAGUUCUUGGCCAAUCCCCAAAAACAGUCCCAGUCCGGAUUGAAGUCUGCAACUCGACUUCAUGAAGUUGGAAUCGCUAGUAAUCGCGAAUCAGCAUGUCGCGGUGAAUACGUUCUCGGGGUUUGUACACACCGCCCGUCAAACCACGAAAGUUGGCAA
rnacentral:rRNA from 1 species